GACAGAGACUGCAAGCGUUAUUCGGAUUCACUGGGCGUAAAGGGUGCGCAGGCGGCCGUAUGUGUGAGGCGUGAAAGCCCGGGGCUUAACCCCGGAAUUGCACCUCAAACUAUACGGCUAGAGCAUUGGAGAGGGUAGCAGAAUUCAUGGUGUAGCAGUGAAAUGCGUAGAUAUCAUGAGGAAUACCAGAGGCGAAGGCGGCUACCUGGACAAUUGCUGACGCUCAGGCACGAAAGCGUGGGGAGCAAAAGGG
rnacentral:rRNA from 1 species